GAAAUAUGGUGAUCAUGAAAGAGCUGCUAACUCUUUUUCUAGCGGUUAAAUUCCGUUAAUAUUUCU
rnacentral:tRNA from 1 species